rnacentral:rRNA from 1 species
UGCGUAGGCGGGUUUCUAAGUCAGAGGUGAAAGCCUGGAGCUCAACUCCAGAACUGCCUUUGAUACUGGAAGUCUUGAGUAUGGCAGAGGUGAGUGGAACUGCGAGUGUAGAGGUGAAAUUCGUAGAUAUUAGGAGGAACACCAGUGGCGAAGGCGGCUUACUGGACGGUAACUGACGUUGAGGUGCGAAAGCGUGGGGAGCAAACA